UACGUAGGGGGCAAGCGUUGUCCGGAUUUAUUGGGCGUAAAGAGCGUGUAGGCGGCCAGGUAGGUCAGCUGUGAAAACUCGAGGCUCAACCUCGAGACGUCGGUUGAAACCAUCUGGCUAGAGUCCGGAAGAGGAGAGUGGAAUUCCUGGUGUAGCGGUGAAAUGCGCAGAUAUCAGGAGGAACACCGGUGGCGAAGGCGGAUCUCUGGGCCUGUUCUGACGCUGAGGCGCGAAAGCUAGGGGAGCGAACAGG
rnacentral:rRNA from 1 species